rnacentral:lncRNA from 1 species
GACCCCCUCCCCUGCUCUCCGCCUUCCCGCCUUUGAACUCCAAGCGGAGCGAAGCAGCCAGCAUGCUGUUGCUUCCUCGCCUAGUUCUAGGUCCGUAGGCUGUGCGAGCUGUUGAUAUAUGCUACUAGUAGUCGGAUAACCAGGAUGGAUUGCUGUUGCGUCCGGAUGAGUUCCUGUAGUUGCGCAUCGCAAAAACUGAUUACCGACGGAUCUCAUUGCCGCCGCGUAUGAGACGAUGCCACAGCGAUCCGCCCCGCCGUCGCCGUUCUCUAUUGGGCUCGCUUCUGCGGUCCAGUAGGUGAUGGUGGUGUACAUUGCCUUGCGAUCUUACGUUUCCGUGCAUUCAUCAGGGAUUUCACUGAAUAUUUAUAAGUUGCUAACUUGUUAGCUCUUUCUUCUGAUUAUUGUCCUACACAGCUUAGGUGCUGUUAUUUAGCAUUACAGUAGGUGAUUGCUGUCGUUGUCUGCAAAGGCAUUGUUUCGUUGGUUAUUCCUGUACACAGCUUAGGUGCAAAAACAUUGUGUGCUUCUAAGAUAAUUUGGUGUCCUCAGAAACUAGUGUCGUUGGCUAGGUUUAUAUGUUGGUUCUUUUCUUCUGGCUGUAGUUUCAGCUGUUGGAAUUUAUAUUUCUUUCUCGUUUUUGCUGCUGUUUCUUGGAGGAGCAUUAUUGAUGCAGAUGAGGAGACACUAGUUUUAUGGGUAAUUUGCGUCUGAGGCGUCUCUGUGAUGUCACACCCUUUUCACCUUGGAGAUCUGAUGCAUCCUUGAUAAUAUCCUUAUUCUUUGGUUUUUUUAUGUUUGAUUCGUUUGGGUGAGAUGAGGAUAUAAUUACAUUGUUGAUGGAUGAUAUGAUGUCCAAUGAAUCAUGUAUUAGCUCUAUCUGAUCAUACCCAUACAGGUUUUAUUUGUGUCUUCAAGAAAGAAAACUUUGAACUCCGCCUAUGUCUUCUAGGCAUAGCCGGUCCCAAGCUCUGGUAAAGGAGGAGGGUUGUGAUAGGCUUGGCGAGCCAACGUAAAAACUAGCCAGUCUUUUGGGUAUGAAACCCAUUUGGGCGAGAGUAGUACUAGGAUGGGUGACCUCCUGGGAAGUCCUUGUGAAAGGGUUUCAUAUCUAGCCUACCCCAACUUGUUUGGGAUCAAAGGCUUCGUAAGUAAGUAAGUAAAGAAAGAAAACUUUGCCGUUUUGUCUUUUUUUUUCUUAUUCUUAAGCAGCAUGUUUUUUUGAAGGAGUUGUCGAUGCAGAUGAUGAGACACGAGUUUAUGGGUAAUUUGCGUCUGAGGCAUUUCUGUGAUGUCACACUCUUUUCACCUUGGAGAUCUGAUGCAUCACCCUGUCCAUGUCUUUUGUGUUCUUUGUACUUAUAUUUCAAAAAUCUUUUUGUUUGGUGUUUUAAUUGGCGAAAGAUGAAAUGAUGAAUGAGAUUAAUUUCCCUAUUGGUUUGAUUGGCUGACAUGAUAGCCUAAAUACUGAACCGAAUCUGAUCAUCCUGCCUUCUCCUAUGUACGAAGAGAAAUGAAUUUCUUUUAACCUUUUCUAGUUCCAAUGUUAUGGUGGUGUUUGUUGCAGAAUGGUACUGAAAAAAUGAUUCUAGUGUUGUUUAAAACAAACAAAGUUAGAUCAAUUCAAAAAGAAACUUUGUUUUCUAAUUGAAAUGGGCAUAGUUGAUGCAAAUGAGGAGACAUGAGUUUAUGGGUAAUUUGCAUCUGAGGCAUUUCUGUGAUGUCACACUCUUUUUCACCUUGGAGAUCUGAUGCAUCUGCCCUCACUGUUGUACUUCUCCUUGUUGGUACUUUUCCAUCUAAAAAUAUUUAAUAAUGGUUUUAGUAGGUGAGAGGUGAGAUGAUGAAUGAGAUUAAUUUCCCUAUUGGUUUGAUUGGCUGAUAUGAUGGCCUCAAUACUGAACCGAAUCUGAUCAUCCCCUUGCCUCUGAUAUGUUUUUACUUGCCUUGCUUUAUCAUUGUUAUCAUUGCUUUGUUCCAUAGUAAUUUCAUCUAAUCAGUUUCUAAUUUAAUCAGUGGAUUUGAGAUGAUGAAUGAUUAAUUUCCCUAUUGGUUUGAUUGGUCAACAUGAUGGCCUAAAUACUGAACCGAGUCUGAUCCUCAUCCCUGGUUUGAUAAGAAAAAGUUAUGUAUUAUCUUAGCUUUCUGGUUUUGAAAUGUUGUAACUCUGCCUUGUAUGAUGGUGUCAAAAAUGAGUUUGAUUGUUUCUUGCUGUCUUCAGUUUUUUAAAAUUGUUGCUUCUGUUUUUGGGACGAGUGUUGUAGAUGCAGAUUAAGAGACAAGUUUGUGGGUAAUUUGCGUCAGGCAUUUCUAUAAUGUCAACGAUCUUUUCACCUUGGAGAUCUGAUGAAUUGUUGAUAAUGUUCACUUAUUUUGAUUUCUUCCUUUUUGUUUCAUUUAUUUCUAACAUCUACUUGGAUCUUGGCUUCUAUUUUUUUUUUGCUUUCUGUGCUUCUAUUUUUUUCUUUUGCAUUUUUAUCAGGUGUAAUUCAAGUACUUGUGGUUCUUCUUGUUUAGAGUUGAACAUUUGGUGGUGCAAUGAUUAUAAACCAUUCCUCGUACUGAUGGAAGAUCCACUUGAACGACUCCUAUACACCCAUAGAAUCUGAGCACCAACAAACCAUGCAUCUUCUGCAUUUUGUCCUGAUAGAACAAAACCCUGAGGUCUGUUUUGCAUUUGGACAUUCUGGUUUGUUACCUUCAGAGUUGAUAUUUGAUUGACAUUAGUUCUGUUGUCCUGCUCCAUGACACCAAACUCGUUCAUAAGCGUUUUAAAUCUUGUAAAGAGUUAUUCUUGUGCAGUGAUUAUAAAACAUUCCUCGUACUGAUGGAGAUCCACAUGAAUGACUCCUAUACACCCAUAGAAUCUGAGCACAAAUUAACUAAAUUGAUCUUGUUCCAGGUCUACUUGCAGUUGUUAUCCUUAUGCCUCUCUGAAAUGCUUUAACCUGUUGAGAUUCUUCAGCUGAUGAUUGGUUUACUAGUAAGUGUUUUGUUUGUUGGUGGCCAAGGAUUAAUAUAAAUUAAUAGACAAGCAUAUGUCCGAAUUUUCUUCAUGUGGACCAAUCUAAUCUUCUCUAUGAGGCCGUUAUCAUGCUCAUUUAUGUAUCUGUAGUUUAUUUGAUGUUUUUUGUGGUUGCAUGAUGCUGAUGAUGAUUAGUGUGAACCUUUCUCAAUGAAAUCACUCAUGAUUGCAUAACCUACUGCCUUCCUUCUGAGGCAUCAUAAUUCCAGGAAUAGUUCUUCUAUUUCCUUUGAUUUUGUUUCGUUUCUCUCUUGAAUGCUGGUUGCCUAUGUCGAAUGAUGAUUACAAGUGCAUAGUUCAUAUGAUCAAAUCAUGAUUACUUGAACAAAAAUAGUCUUUCGCUCCUAUCUGACGACCUUUCAUCCUCACCUUUUUUAUGAGAAUCAAACCAGUUUUUGUCUGCUCUGUUUUGCAUUUUACAAGGACAAUCCUGCAUUAAUAUCAAACUUAGAGGACGGUGAAGAUUGAUAUUUGGUCUCGUUCGUCGUAACUGGCAUUUAUUGCCUUGCCGACCAUCCUGCUAUAUCACCACCCAUAUUCUGAGUCCUUAUAACAUUUACUAUCGGUGUUUGACAUGCCAAUCUUUUUAUGGUGUUUGUCCUAUGAUUAAACUAAACUCCUUGAGAAGCAAUUUCCAUUUGAAUAAUAAAUAGUGAAUUUUUUAUUUGCUUGGAUUUGAGCAGUGAUGAGACAAUUGAAUAAAUAUGAUCAUCUAGGUGUGAUUAUCAAUCGCUACGUUCUUACUGAGCUCUUAUCUUUUUACUUUUGGCAGUUCGAUUGCAAAAGUGUAUCAGUUCUUCUAAUUGUUUGACUUUGAUUGCUAUUGUACAACAUAUAUUUGAUGUUAGCAGUGAGAUUUUAAACCUUUUUGAGGAUGAUGACUACAUAUUUGUCGCUCCACGCUUAGGGCCACCAUCGGUGGAUCUAUGCAGAUUGACAUACUUAUGAAUCUGACUCUAGUUAUUUCUUCCAGUUAGUUCUGUUUUCUUUCAGACUUCUUUUAUUCCUUCUGUGAUGGCAGUGACGAUUUGCAAAUAUUCAAGCUCAACAGACCAAAUCACAGGUUUUCUCUUGGGAGUUAAUUUGUAUGCCGAAUAUCCCGCUGAACUGAGCCAUCCGAUACCUGGUUUUAUAAUCAGUUCAUUGUUCUUUUCUCGUGUUCCCUCUUUUCUGCUUCUUUUUGUUGGAAGGAUCAUGCUCAUUUCUUUAUCUAUAGUUUUGUUUAGUUUUUUUGUUUGUUUUGGUGCACAUAGUUGCGAUGAGGAUAACAAGCUCCCUCUUCUGAAAGAAUUGACGACAUUGCUGGCAGAAUCGAACCAAUUAAAUAUUGCCACCACUGAGCAACUAUGUGUCUUGAACAAUAUUUCUUUGCUGUUAUUGAUCGUUUGCUUCUUUUAACUUCCAGUUUACAGAUUUGUUUGGAUUGUGAUUAGGGAUUUUGCUUCUGGCGAAGCAGCGAGUUCAUGCGCAAGUGAAUGAACGAGCAGCGAGUGAAGUGCAACAGUCAUAAGUAAGUCUCGCCAUGUUCCUAAAAAGGGUGACCAUCUUUCCUUCCCUUCUACUGACACUGAGCGAGCAGCAAGCAUAGGCAAUAGUUUCCAUAGGGGUGGGGCGCAAGCAAGUGUUUUCAGGCUCCACUAGCUAGCGUACUCUUAUGCUAUCAAUGAAACUGAAAGAAAAAACUAGUGCCCUUUUGUAUAGAUAGACACAGUACUUUUUCUUUACUUCUUCCAUACUAGGAAGAAUGGAAGGAAAUCCUUAGAUAACACUUCUUCCUUAUUUGAAGAAAUGAUAUAACACCCGUGGAAACUCUCUGGGCGUUGCUAUUAAAAAAGUGGGUCUAUCCGCCCCGGCGUGACUCACACUUGACCAACCACUUCUAUCUAAGAAAAUACUUAGGUAGGGUCAAUCUCCCUUACGGGUUUAUGCGUCCUAGUCCGAACCAUUGGAUCGAUCAGAAGAAGAAAUUCAAAGGAAUUGAAAGGUACCGAAUGAUGUUUUUGUGCACCCUGCCUUUUUUAUGCGGCUAGAAUGCAAUUGAUGCCUAUGAUGAUUAGCUUUCCCCGGCCCAAUGGUCUUCUUUUUGUUUUUCACUGUUAUCCAACACUUGCACCUUGCCUUUUUUAUGCGGCUAGAAUGCAAUUGAUGCCUAUGAUGAUUAGCUUUAUGUUGGAAUUACCGUCAGAUACAGAAUGAUGAUACUUUUGCGGCUUUCUGAGGUUAAAUUUGGCUCUGUUUUAUUUUCUGGCUGUGUGCUUUGCUCUGUUUUCUCCGUAUCGUCUUUUGCUUUUUAUGUUGAUACAACAGCCACUAAUAACCACUGAAGUGGGGAUGGUCCUUUGGCUGUAAUCUCUGUGUACACCUGAUUUGAUUCAGCUGUGUCCUUUGCUCUGCCUUUUUUUGCAAUGUCUAAUUCUCUUGUGUAUAAAUUUGCCUGUUGCUAUGAAUAGUUGAAUACUGAUCGAAGAUGCUUUCAUAUGUUGAUAUAUAUGUACCUGAGACCGUGUUUAUUGAUUUAUAGAUCUAUAUAUUUAUUAUGCCAUAUGGUCUGAUAAACUGGGGAAACUGUAUGGCAGUGAUGAUGAAUUUAAGGCUUGUUUCUCAAAACAUUCGCAGUCGCCGCCUAAGAGCUUUCGCCCAGCCAGGCUUGAGAGCUAAUGCUGCUAAUUCCUUCCUUGGAUGUCUGAGCCUUGUUAACAUCCCCAUUUUGUCUUUGUUUCAGCUUUAUUAGUCUGUUGUCUUCACUGCUUGGUUCUUUGCAUAGCAAAUGAAGAUCAGUGAAAGGCUUGUUUACAGUUUGAGUUGCUGCCAAAGUGUUUUUGCUAGUGCUGCUACAUCGUUCCUUUGAAUGGCUGGAACCAUAAUUUUGUUUAGUGAUUGAUUUCUUUUUGUCGAAACUUAGUGAUCAAUUAUUGAGAAGCAAUCGCGCAUUGUGAGUGCCUAUCAGCAAUGUUGAAAAAGCGUCCGUUGCCACCUGAAUGAAUGGCAACGAAAGAAGGGGGAAUAUGCUUCUUGUUAGAAGACCAUCGAUCAGAUAUCCUGCUGUUUGUUUACGUUUUCUGUAGACAUUGGUGUGUGCAUGAAGACUACCAGAAUCCUUGUUUGGUCGAGGAUGCUCUUUUUAUUUUUGGUUAACAUUUCUAAUGUAUUUGAGUCCCUUUCUAAUAAAGUUUGCUUUGGCUCAGCAUAUUGCUCCUGGAGCACUAUUUUUCUGAAGCCUGAAUUUUAUCUGUCAACGUAGUAUUUUUGGAAGCAAAUGCCAACUGAUCCCUGGUGAUGUGUUUCCAUGAAGUGUAGAUUCCCUUGGCAUCCUGUUAACUUGUCAAUAGAAAGUGAAAUCGAUAGAUGUUCAUUGUGCACCUCCCGCAUAAAAAUGUUUUUCCAGCGCUUCAGGAAAAUAGACCCUGCUGGGCAUUGAUGACUGGACUUAACGCAAGAGCCAUCAAUACCCUGCGCCAGUUAUUAAUAUACUAAACCUAGCCAGAAUUGAUUACCUGGUUUUUUGACUUUUUCAUAGUACAAACCUGGCCAAUGAGGUGCUGACAUGCCCUGAGCGUGUACGCAUUGGCGAUUUGCAUUUAUUCAGGUCUGUUCACUUGAACGGUGGCUAUCCUUCGGCCUCUCACCUCUCUCACCUCAAAGGAACUGGUCAUAUCCCGUGCCACCGCUUUGCCGUGUCUCCCUUCUGUCCAACGAGCCCGCGUUUUGAGUUCAUGCACUCUUAACCUCGAUUCUGUUCAACGCGCCCGCGUUUCGAGUUCAUGCACGACGCCUGUGCCCUUAACCUCGAUUCUGUCCAACGUGCCCGCCUUUCGAGUUCAUGCACGACGCCUGUGCUCUUAACAUCGAUUCUGUCCAAUGCGCCCGUGUUUCGAGUUCAUGCACUCUUAACCUCNNNNNNNNNNNNNNNNNNNNNNNNNNNNNNNNNNNNNNNNNNNNNNNNNNNNNNNNNNNNNNNNNNNNNNNNNNNNNNNNNNNNNNNNNNNNNNNNNNNNNNNNNNNNNNNNNNNNNNNNNNNNNNNNNNNNNNNNNNNNNNNNNNNNNNNNNNNNNNNNNNNNNNNNNNNNNNNNNNNNNNNNNNNNNNNNNNNNNNNNNNNNNNNNNNNNNNNNNNNNNNNNNNNNNNNNNNNNNNNNNNNNNNNNNNNNNNNNNNNNNNNNNNNNNNNNNNNNNNNNNNNNNNNNNNNNNNNNNNNNNNNNNAUGCACGACGCCUGUGCUCUUAACCUCGAUUCUGUCCAAUGUGCCCGCGUUUCGAGUUCAUGCACGACGCCUGUGCUCUUAACCUCGAUUCUGUCCAACGCGCCCGCGUUUCGAGUUCAUGCACGACGCCUGUGCUCUUAACCUCGAUUCUGUCCAACGCGCCCGCGUUUCGAGUUCAUGCACGACGCCUGUGCUGCGCCACGGGCUCCUCAAGCUUGCGCCGUAGCUUCAUCGCGCGUGUGUGCUAGCUGCUGGGUUCGUCUGUGUCCUACUCCUUCUGAUUUACUCGUUGUGGUUUUAGUUCAAAUUUGAACUAACCAUGACGAGUAAAUCAGAAGGAGUAACUCCCAACAGCCUCUCCGCCCGGUGAGGCCUCAUCCAGCGAGCUCACCGCCCCGGUCUGACAUCGUUUGCCUGUUACAGCACCAGUGUUCAGGUUGCACCUCAUCCUGCGAGCUCACUGACCCGGUUCUCAUGUUCCAACAGCAGUGUCCAGGUCGCCUGCAAGGUGUUCGGUCAAUUGACCGGACAGAGCCCAGGUACAACUAAUGUGGAUAAAGACGCCUGCUUUCUUCGGUACGCAACCAACAUAAGGGAUGCUGUAUUUACAUGCUUUCUGUUCCAUGGGUGCACUAUUUUGUAGACGUGUGCUUUGUUCAAUAGUUGGGCUAAAAGUAUUUUUUGGUUUCUGUUUGCAGUUGGAGCAAGCAGUUCAGUGGAUGGAUACCAUUUUAUGCCCACUGUUUUUGUGGUAUUAACAAUCAUGAUGCCAACAUGAUGUGCACCAUGUAUUUUAUGAUGCUAUUUAUGUAUUUAUGUAACUGGAUAAUCUUUUUCUUAUUUGCAAAUCAAAAUCAGCCCAGGCAAAUUAAUAUUGAUGACUUCCAGGCAAAUCAAAAUCAGCCCAGGCUAUUGUCUUCUGUUUCAGAUUGGUGACUGGGUAUGUUUAAAAAGAGAAUGCCCUAGAACAGUCAUGCAAGAGAGUUUGUCAGUUUCAGAUCAGUUUCAUAUCUUCAGAGUCAUUCAUUUAUCAUCAUAGAAAAACCAUCAAAUGAGUUCACUUUACCGGAUUCCAGUUUUCUUAGUGUCAAGUAAAGAUUCGAUUAGCUGGGUUUAAUGCAUUUCUGAUUAGCAACCUGGAAACCAAAACGGUUAAAUAGUAAAUAGUAAAUAAAUUUAAUUCCACACUUCCGUAUUCAACCAAAGUACACCCUGUUCUUUUGCUGCAAGUGCUAUUGUUAAUUAAAAUAUCUCCUUAGUAUAAUGUGGCAGAAUCUCAAUACACUUGUGGUGGAUCCUCUAAUCCUGUACCUGCCAAAUAUAUAAAUCAUUCUAUUUAUACAUAGAGUAUCUAUGUAGUGCCAUCCUAACUAGGGGUGACCAUUUUUGUAUGAUGGAUAGUUGAGCUUGGUGAGCGCGGAUGGGGAGUGGAUGGCAUGGAAGAGAAGGUUGCGAGGAAGGAGAAUAAGCAGGGGAGCCAGAGCAUGAGUAGCGACCUUGCGAAUUUGGUAAAUGGGUUUCCAGGCUUUGAUUAUGCGCCAGGCAAGGUUGGUAGUUCUUUACCGGCAGCGGCGGGUGGCAGAAUGGCGAGGCCGAUUUGAACCCGGCUGCCCCUCUCUGUUGGUCUAAACGCUUAUUUUUUAUCGUUGACAAUGAAGUGUUCAUAGUCAUUUAGAUGCAGUGGCGAGCUCAUAUAGUAGCUUCAGUUCUAUCAAAUGUACAUGUUUAAUGUAGCUUCAAUGUUGCCCUUUCUUUAUCUUGAGUUCAAUGCUACACUUGGCAGGUGUCAAUGAACAUUUUUGAUAGCAGAAAAAAGACUAGAUGCACACCAUGGCACGUGUAGAAUCAGAUUUCAUCAUUCGUAUCCAUCGCUCAACAGGGUCUUCCGAGCUCAUGGAUGGGUACUGCCACAGAAAACUCGAGUCUAGAUGCAUGAAUGUGCUAGUAGUUUGUUCAGUAUACAGGUGAGUAGUUUGUUCAGUAUACAGGUGAUUGCACAUUUUCAGGUAUAUCUGAACCAUGUAUGUGACUAUAACCUGACACAUAGUUGCUUUGUACAUAAGAAUGCUUAGCUACUCGGAGCAUUUAGAGCCGUAGCCCUGCUACUGUAAAGGCAAACAAGUUCUUAUGUUUCAAGCACUAAUUGGUGAUGGAUUAUCGUGCAAUUAUUGGUAGGAAUAUAUUAGCCAACCCUAUGAGAUAAAAGUCAAGCAAUUAUUACAGGAAUACAGGGUGAGGACUGUGAUGCAUGCUUCUUUGUUCAAUGGCUAGAUGCAGAAUGUGAGUCACGUUGCUCAAAUGUUGAAAUUUAUUUGAAGCUAUAUUGGAACUGCAGUUUUGAUAGCUGUUGGAUCAUGACUAACUGUGUCGCUCUUCCUGUCAGCACUUGUGAGAUAUCUGUUGACGAUGCCAAGAAGGUUGUUGCUUUUGAUUUCUUGGUGUUCAGUUAAGGAGCUAGAGACAUACUCACUUCUUUUUCUUAUGGGAAACUAAUUGAAACGUCUCUUUGGGAUUAACGUGAAUAUAUGGUUUCUACUUUCCUAUACUACCACUCACUAUCACAACUAAAUGUACCUAAAAUGAUGCAAGUGAGUAUAGUUUCUUUGUUAUUAGGUCCCAGCAUUAGACACACAUUUAGCUACAACUAAUCAGUCAACGGACUACAAAAUAUGCACUAUCGUUUCUUCAACCGCAUGGCGUGUCGCCGCAUAUAUGAUGCCACAUACAGAUAUUUUUGUGUUAACAUACAAAGUUAAUUGUUAGGCACGGGUGAAGAUAACACCGAGAGAUUUACAUGUACUUUAUUUGAAUAACAGUUUAAAGUAGUUUCUGUUAUCGUUAACAACACCAUAGUUUAACUUGUUAAUUGGCAUUGAGGGGCGAGAAUUGAACUCUUUGGCGAAAUAUACCAUGUGAGCAUGUAUUCCCAUCUCCUUGAGCUUAUAAGAACAAAUGGGAUAGACUGUAAAUAAGCUAUAAUCCCAUGAAGGCAAUGAGAUAGACUGUUGUUGCAUCAUUUCAUUUUAAGUGGGCUAAUUGAAAAAUUCCCCAUUGAAAUAUUGAAUUUCAUGAUCAUUAGCAUUUUUCUGAGUUCGUAAUAUAUUGUAUUAGGUGCAAGGAUAUUUUUAAUCAGUUUGUCAGUUUGUAUGACGACCAUAAAGAGUGUGGUUUUGUGUAGCUUGAGCUACAUGGUACUCCUUAUCUUAGCCAUCCAUUUUUGCAUCGAGAUCCAUGCAGGCACAUUUUUUAUUUUUGUUUCUCUCAAACGAAACAACGUAUAAACUUCAAACUUUGUAGGACAACAAAACAUUCUAAUUACUACGUGGGAAAAAAACUUUCAGAUUUUUUCAUGCAUUAAAAUGCUAAAAAUUAAUUUUUUAAUCAAAAAAUCCUCAUUUUGUAUAUUUAUGUUGGUCCAAAAAAUCUGAAAGUUUUUUCACACAUUGAAGUUGUAAAGUUUGUUUGAUCUGCAAAUUUUGAAGUCCAUAUGUUCUUUCAUUUGAGAGAAACAAAAAAGAAAAAUCUUCUUGUUGCAAGUUAGUUGGAGAGUACGGAUCUCAAAGCAAUGUUGAAGGACUAAAGAUAAGAGGUUCCAUGUAGCUCGACCUACAGAGGAACUUUACCAUAAAACAUGGACUGAUAACCCCAUGAACUUUGUGCGUGUUUAUGGCUUCCUCAUGGGCUUUGAUGCAUUCCAUGUAGAGAAAGUGAUGGAGCUUGCAAAAGAUGGGCACACUAUGAUGUGCUCAAUACACCAGCCGAGAGGUUCAAAUUUGAUGACAUUCUACUACUAUCAGAGGGACAAGUUGUAUAUAUGGGGCAUGAAAAGAAAAAGACCUUUUAAAAUACUUUGCAUCAUUGGGUUGUUAUCCCGCGCCACCAUUCCUUUAAUGUGCUCAUUAUUUAUUAUAUAAUCUUUUACAUGAUCUAUGCAUCUCUUUAGUCUAUAUUUGCACUAGGUUUAGCGUUUACUUCGCAUCGGCAUCAAGCUAUGCUCGCGGACUGACCCAGUGUUAAGUACCGGAGAUGUUAGACAUACUCAGCACAAUCUCCCUCACCAUAUGAUUCAUGGUGGUUUAAUAACAAAGAGGUGUGCUUAUCAUUGCCUAAUUGAUGAAUUAUAUCUCUUUUCUAUCAAUUCUGGUAUGCAGACAAGACGUGUUCAUUGUUUUGAGUUGAUUGGAUGUUUGUUUUGUAUGUGCAAGCAAAGCACAAUGGGAACCUCUAUCAUAGAGGGAAAAUUUAUACCUUCCUUUACAUAGAUAUAUAAGAGCUUGAUUGAUUUGUCACAAAGCAUCUAACAUCUGGUGGGUUUUCAGGCUGAAGGAGUAAAUUCACAACUGUUUUAAUUUCUAUAAGAAAAGUUAUUUGCUUCAGAAAUUAUUUGUUGGAAGUUUUUGUGAUCUUCUUGGUUGGAUCAUGCAUCCAUGAUCAAAAUAAAACAACACCUCAUUUCAGAUAAAAAGUUGAAAAUUCAUUAAGGCUGUGAGAUGCACUAUUGAUUGCUUUGAUUACUGCCAACCAAAUCAUUACGUAUAUCAUAGAGAUGAAGUCACAAUUCAUUGGAUUGAUUGCUUUGAUUUCCAGCAUUGUCUCUCAGUGUGUUAUUCGAUUCACACCCAAGCAAUUAUUAAUUAAGCAACAGAAAUGUUAACAGGCAAAAAAUUAUACACCACAUAAAAAAAUUCACCAGAAUGGAUCGGUAAGGCGAUUUAAUAAGAGAAAUUCACUUUGACACAAACGCUAUUUGAUGUGUAGAUCUCAUCAUUGUAUGUGCGCUCGUCAAGUUUCAUGAAAAUCCGACAUUUUAUACGCUUGUGUAAAAAAGACAAGAAAAGUCUCAUGAAAAGCCUAUUUUAACACUAAAUUUUGUCUUUUUUACAUGUGAUACAAAAGUUGUUGGUUUUCCGUGAAACGAGUUUGUGUGCACGUAGAAUGUCGAGAUGUACGCGGGAAUCUUUUUUUUUUCUUCAGAAUUUUGUGAUAUUUCAAAAUAUGUUUAAAACACAUUUUAAAACCAGGAGCAUAUGCUUGGCAACCGGCACAGUGGUUCCUUGCAUCUCUCUCAUCAAGUUAUCAGCAACAUUGUUAGUAUUUAAUCAAUUACUUCAUCGUGAACAGAUGCCUCCCAGAGAUCAUGUCUUUUCCCAUUGUAUAAACUAGCCGAAUGCCCGUGUGUUGCCACGGAAUAAAAAAAAAUAUGAACACAAAACAAUUAUUCUACUUUAGAAAUAUGCAUUGGGCAUGACAAUAUGUGAUUUGAAUUCUGAAAAUUUACUUUCGCUCUAGCAUUUUGUUUUCCUUGUUGGACAGAAUAGCACAUCCAAAAAAGAGUGCAAAAGACUUAAACUGGGCUGCAUUCGUUGAAGGUUCCUCAUGUGGGAAUUGUAUCCAGUCUUGAUGUAGGGAUGGUACUUCAUUUAGUAAUACUAAAAUUAUUUGUCUUACACCACUAUUGGCUAAUCAAAUUAUUUGGGACAUGUUCAGGUUAAUGUAAAAUUGACAAAUAUUGUAGGAACAACAAUUGCUUACGCAUCACACAUAUAUGUUUUGACUAAAGAGAUGUAGGCGUUAUACUGUAACCUGUGAAUCUUGCAUAUAGUUCAAAAGAUAUCAAAUACAGUAUAUUUCCUUUCCAUGUUUUUUUGCGGGGUAUAUUUCCUUUCCAUGUUCUUCAGGAAGUCAUUUUCGUUGUAUGUUGUAGCUAUAGUACAUGUUAUAAAGGUAGGCAGCUAGCUAAAAAGUAAAAUGUAGAGCUCGUAAACUUGUGAUGCACAUGCUCAUAUUUGCUUGGCAGUUGAGUGAUGGUUCUCUCCUCUGGCUAUCGAAUAUCUGAUCUCGUUGCCCGCCUCUUGGAUGAGCAGAGUUAAUUGCAAAAGCUGAGUCUUCUGUUGUCAGUAGAAUUCUGGAGAAACCGUACCUUGGUAUUUCGGUUGGUGCAGUCAUAGUAGUGCAGUAGCAAUGCAUAGCUGACUCCAUAUCUACACACGACGUAAUGUUUGCCACAGUAUCUUUUAUUGCAGUCCCUUCUGCAAGGCUAUUAUAGAGACAAAAUCAUCCAUAUGUCUGCAGUUGGCACUAUUGGUAUUGAUACCUACAAAUGAAACUGACUCUUACAAUUUCACCAUACGAUCCUGAAACAAAAUUAUGUGACAGACAAUUGAAAAAGGAACGAAACAACAAUAACGCAUCUCACUUCAGAAUACUUGAACUAUAUUUGUUCCUGAUUCAUACACGCAGCUGAAGAUUGAAAUAGCAUAAGCCCACCUUUCUUGACACUACAAUCAUUGACCAAAUAUGAUACCUCAAUUUCAGUUACUCUGAUCUAGAAGGCUGACUCGAAACUGAACCUAGAAUCAAAUGAAAGCGAAACUGAUUAAAUAAACAAACAAAUGAUAUAUGAUUUGAACAUCAUUCUGCAGUUACUGCCUUUCACUCCAAAGGACAUUGAAAACCAUACAAAAUAUAAUUUGUACAUCGCCAAUUUUGGCUCUAGUAGCCUUUCUUCUGCGCUACUGGGCUGUCACCAAGAGCAGCUUGUGAUCUCGGAUUCUGGUGACAAAGGCAAACAAGCCUUGUUCCAGGAGCCAAGCCGGCACCCAACACCACCAGCAAGACAGAAGUGCUCAUGGGAGAAACCGCAAAGGGGCUUGCUAAAAAAACUCAAGCUGGAUGGAGGCUUCGUGCAGGAUAAUGUUGGGGCCAUGGUAUGGUCAUAUGGGACGGUGAAGGAACGGUCAUUUUGUCCACCAGCCAGAGGAUCCCAAGUUUCUAUGACGCUAUGGAGGCUGAGGCAAGUGCAAUGCUUGCGGGUUCAAAAGUCCUGGGUGAUCUCUACAGGGCCGCUGAUGCUAGAAACUGAGUGUGCUGGAACAAUAAAACGAAUUACUUUAAGCUGACCAACCAAGAAACUAAUUGAAAUCGGAGAUCUCAUAAUCCACUCCAUUCGUUAAUAAGGAAGAAAUAAAACAUGGACUAUAUAAAUAAAUCUGCAAUAGUUAAGUUAGAUGAUAGCUCAGAACUUCUUCAGUUAGUACAAUGAAUCUCUUCAUACAUGUACGUAUCUCUUCAUAAAUUCAUAGACAUGUCAGGUAACACGAACAUGUUUCAGAAUAUUCUGUCCAGAAACUUGAAAAAUUAACAGAUUUGCUCAUUUUCAGUCGGAUGAAAUUAAUUCGUUUUCAUUCGUUUUUUAGUCCGUCCGAUCCAUCUGUCAAGAUUCAUGCUUUCCUCUUCUUUUUUUGCAACUCUGAGGUGGAUUGUUCUUUUAUCGGGCCCGCAACCUUCCCCUGGAGACCCGUUAACCGUUUUUUAAUUUUCCUUUUCUCCUCUAGCUCAUUUGUCUUCGUUCCCAUUUCGAGCGGCGAGUGGUUGAAGGCAGAGAGCCAUGGCGGCUGGAGAUCUCACUCACUGAUCUCUCGAGGUCGAGCCGGUGCUUGGGUGUCUGGUGUCCCCCCUGGCCCCGCCCGGCUUGCUUGUCCUCAAGCGCUCGCAGAGGAAGAGGCGAUCCCUGUGGUGAUCCGGCUGCGCUGUCGUCUCUGCUUCGCUUGAUUUCGCGGCGCUCCUCCCCAUUCCCAUGUGUUAGUCUGCGAGCCCUGUGUCCCCCUCCUCAUCCACCAUCCAUCAUGUGGUUGAUUUUGUAAGUAUCCUCCCCCCUGUGUUCACCCCCAUGUUUUUUCUGUUCGAGUUUUGGUAGAUGCGGCGAAUCCUAGAUGAUUCCCCUGUGCAGCGGUGGAUCCUAGAUGUUUUUGGAUGCUGCAGGUGUCUCAGGUGUAUGGUUGGAUGUAUUUGUAGUGGUGGAUCCCUCAUGUUUUUUGUUGAUUUUGUGCUUCUGGGCGCGCUUUAGUUGUCACUGUGACGAGUAGCUCCUAGUCCUAGAUGUGUCCGUUCCCUCAUGUGGAUCCCUCUUGUAGGUGUCGUUGUGGAACCCUCCUAUUUUGGAAGUAGUUGUUGAAUUCCUAAAUGUGUUCAAUCCUCCCUGUGGAUCCCUCCUGUAGUUUUUGCUGUGGAUCCCUCCUGUUCGGUUGUAUACAUGGGCGGAGCUACACUUUGGCAAUGGGGUCAAAUGACCCCAAUGGAUUUAUGUCAAACUAGUACUAAAUUCAUGGUAAUCAAAGUGUAUUCAGGGCUGAAUACAUGCACUAUAUGAAGAUGACCCCCUUGACAAAUAUAACUGAUUUUGCCCCUGGUUAUAGAUGCUGAAUGUAGUUUGUGGUUUGUGUGGACUGUAAGUUUGUAUGUCCCCUUUUGUCCUCUGCUAGCUUUUGUAGAUGUACAGCCCCUUGUUGUUUGGAUGCACAUGCUGAGUCGCUUGGUCACACAUUAAACAUGCUGGAGUUUAGGUGUUGUUUCGGUGUAAAUUUCAGUGCAUUUAUACUGUCGUCACAAUUCAUAUUUACAGCAGAUUUAGUGUAGUUCCAAUGAAUUUUGCUCUGGUAUUACAGUGUAAUUAUAGUAAAAUUAAUUUAUGAUUACAGUGUAAUUACGAUGUUACUAUGCUGUAAUUUCAGUUUAACUAUACUGGGCAUUUCAUUGUAUGUAUACUGUAAUUUCAGUGAUUUCAUAGAGUAUCUCACUUAAAGAUUUUAAGAUAUCUUAUUAGUGUAAUUAAGAUAUCUUAUUAGUGUAAUUAUACUAGUGUAUUUUUACUCUAUCUCUGUGAUUUUGAUUUACAUUGUAAAUUCUCAUGGAAUUUUAGUGUGGUAUCACUGUAAUUGUUUUUAGUGUAAUUACUUUAUCAUGUCCCUGAAUUUAUACUGCAAUUCAUAGGGGAUUUUAAGUGCAUUUUACUCUAUCUCAUCAGUGUUUGUACACUGUAAAUCUUAGUGGACUUAUACUGUAAUUACCUAUUUUAGCAGUAAAUUUACACUGUAAAUCAUAGUGGAAAUUUAGUGUGAUGUUCACUGUAGUUAUAGUAUGCUUUUGGUCUUUCGCUGUUAUGCUAGAGCUAUGCUUAGUUGGAACUGCUAGUCAUUUUAGUUCAUUGUUGUUUUGCUUAUCGGUAUUCUGUUGUUGUCAUUCUUUUUUAUUUGCUAAUAUGAGUUUUUGGUAUUUUGUAGAGUGUGUGGAAAGUUUCCUAAUAUUUUUUGUUAGUUCUAUUUUUCCAGUUUAUGUGUAAUUUCUUUUGAUAGGCUCCAUGUUGUCUAUGUUGGGGAACAAACUAUCCCUUCACAUUCUAUAUUUUUCUGGUUUGUGUGUGGAUGUUUUACAGUGAUAUGUCCUUUAGUUUUGGGUAUUUAUGUUGUUAGGAAGAGGGAGUUGCGUGGCAGUGAAAUUCUUAGGGAAAUUCAUACGGUAGAAUUACUUGUAAAUUACAGUGUAAAUCUAUUAUAAAUUACAUUCUAAUUCAACUGCAAUACUACUGUAUUUACACUCUCAAUCUACUGUAAAAUGUCACCAGGAUUCAGCUGUAAUUAUAUUGAAUUUAAAGUGUAAUUCUAGUGUAAAUUAAACUGCAAAUCUACUGCAAUUACUGUGAAACUCACUGCCAUUUGCUAUUUAAUACUACUGUAUUUUACACUGUAGUUCUACUACAAAAUACACUGUAUUUACACAGUAGUUCUAGUGGUCUACCACUGUAAUUACAGUUUGCUUACAUUGUAUUUUCAAUGGUCUAGCGAUGCAAUUCAAACUGUAAUUACAAAGGAUUUUUCACUCUGGUCCACUACUGUAAUUUAUAUUGCUUACCACUGAAGUUUUAGUGGUCUAGCACUGUAAUUACAGUUUGCUUACACUGUAAUUCCAAUGGUCUAGCGAUGUAAUUCGAACUGUCAUUUAAAGGAUUUUUCACCCUGGUCGACUACUAUAAUUUCUAUUGCUUACCACUGAAAUUUUAGUGGUCUGGCACUGUAAUUACAGUUUGCCUGCCACUGUAAAUUCCUUGUCUGCCACUGCCAAUGUAAUUUAAUUUGACAGGUUCCUUUUCAGUUCCUCUGUAACUACAGUGUAAAAACACGGGAAAUACACUUUGGUUCCUGGUUGUAUAUGCACCCUAUAUGGGGAUUUUUUUAAUAUUUUAAUAAAAAGUCAAAAUAGGUAACAACUAUUUUGACAAAAACACUUGACUUACUUUUGCACUGAUAUAUAAAUGUCAACGAAAAAAAAA